rnacentral:lncRNA from 1 species
UGACAACAUGACACUUUGAUUGUGGACUUCCAGCCUCCAGAACCGUAGGAAAUAGAGUUGUUUGAAAGUUUAUGGUGUUGUUACAGCAUCCUGGAUUAAGACAAAAGAAAAGGUUUUUAAAAAUACAUUGAACGUAAUGAAAUUAAAAAUAUAACAUAUCAAAAGUUGUGGGACUCAGCUAAAGCAGUGCUAACAGGAAAAUGUAAAGAAAUAUAUCUAGCAUGAAGGAGUUCUUUGUGGUGAUGAAAUAUCCCUGUAUUUUGAUUGCAAUGCUGAUAUCAUAGAAUUAGACAUGUGAUUAAAAAACAUAUAAUUACAUACACACGCAUGGUUCUGAGAUCAAAUUCCUGGUGACCAUCAUUAUGUAAAAUGUAACCACUGGGAGAAACUGGGUAAAAGACACAUGUGAUCUCAUUAUUCUUUUUAAGAGUUAUCUUAGCAAUUAUUGUCGCUUUUUCUUCUACACAUAGUUGUAUGGAAUGUUCUUUUUCCCUUUAAGAUUUUCAUUACAUGGAAAAGUGACCUGUUUAUGAUAAUGUUAACAUAUUUAAAUGAGUAGAAUAAAAUAUUUGAAAAUACUUGAUUCAUUUAGGCCUCAUGAAUGUUUCUGUUUUAACUUUUAUUUAUUUGUUUCAUAUUUUGUGCUUAAAAAAAGAUGUCCAAUUAAAAAAAGGCUGUUGGAAUCUUCUAAAAAGUAUAUCCAAUGAAACCGCAAAAUAUAUCUUAAAAUUAACUAUUUGGCUGAUAUCUGAUGUUACCACCUUUGUCUAAUCCAUCCAUGCUUCUAUAAUUGCCUCCCUAUAAUUUCCACAUAAAAACUCAGGUAAUUUUUAUAUAUGACAUCAGUUCAUAGCCUCAUAUUUCUUUCUCUUCCUUCAACCUUAAACCCUGCCAAGUCUUCCCAUUUAUACAGAAUAGUAUUUAAACUCCUUACACUGGCAUUAUUGUCAUUAAAAUUUUAGCUUAAUUGUCCCCUGCCCAGAGAAGCCUCCUCUAGUAAGAGUCAAAAAUAUAUGACCAUUCCCUCCCUACUACAUGGCUGUGUAAUUCUUAGCACAGCAGUUAUUACUAUUGCAAAUGUUCUAUUUGUUUACUUCAUUACUCUUUCUCUUCUGUAGAGUGUAAGCUCCCUGAAAAUAGAUGUCUUUAUUUUUCUUCACUACUGAACCAUAAUAAUAAAAAAUGCAUUUAUAAACACAAAUUUACAUUAACUAAUUCAGCUCUCAUAACAACAAUAUAAAUACAUAUUAUCACCAUCAUCACUAUUUUACGGUUGAGAAACUGGACAGAUAAGUUAGGUAAAUUCCUCAAGAUCUCACAAUCUGGUACAUUUAGGAUACAUAAUUCAAACUCAGGCAGUCUGCCUCUAGUGUCUUUAUUCUUAAUCACUAAGUUACAAUGCCUAUAAUUGUUUCCAGACCUUAGCAGGUUUUUAAUUAAUGUUCCUUGAUCAGUGAAAAUAUUAAGUUGGUUCUCUGGAAGAGGUGGUUGUGCUUUGAGUUUAUUAUAGAGCUUGUUUUACUAGGUUAAACAUUUUAUAUCUAGAAAUAAUUUUACAUGUGAACUAUUUUGGGGACUAUAAUCUACAAAUUAAGACUAUCAUUUACUAAUAGAUGUUAAUAGAUUUGCUUAAAUCAUUCUUAUGGAAAAUGUAUGAAAUUAUAUCCUGAGCAUAAGGAAAAGGAAUUUUCCUAAUCAGAGUACAAGUUAACUAUCUAUCAUAUCAGUGGUGUUUAUUAAAACACAUCAGUAUUCAUUUGUUUUAGAUAUUAUACAAGUGAUAUACAAAUAUAUUAUUAUUAUUAUAGAGUAGCUGAAAAAAUGUCUACGGCAAUUUACAGCGUCAUAAUUUAGCAUAUUCUUAAUCUCUUUUUUAAAAACAUAUUUAAUGCUGUGUUCAGCUCUUAGGGAAAUCUAAAGAUUAGGCAAAGCCAGGGCUCUGGAGCGCCUAGAGCCUGGGCUCGCUUUAAGGUACAUCCUAUAACCAGGACAGCUUAAUGGCAAGUUAUCUUCAUUUUUUGAAACAUCUUGGAUAUUGCUAAUAGGUGCUAUUCAGAAUAUAUAAUUGCCCUUUAAAAAGGAUAACACUUUGGCAUAAAGUAAAUGCGUGCCCCCGAAAUUCAUAUAUUGAACCAUACCCCACCAUGUAAUGUUAUUAGAAAAGGCUUUUGGUAUGUAAUUAGGUUUAAACAGGUCAUGAAGGUGGAAACUUUAUAUGACAAAUAAGAGAGCAGAGCUCUCUUUCUAUGCCAUGUGAAGAUAUAACAAGGAGGCGGUCUUCUACAAACCAGAAAGAGUCUCUCACAAAGAGCCAAGUCUCCUGGCAUUUUGAUUUUGGACUUUUUAUCAUCUACAACUGUGAGAAAUAAGUAUCUGUUGCUUAAUCCAUCCAGUCUCUGGUAAUUUGUUAUAGCAGUCCUAGCUAACUAAGUCAGUCUUCUUUCAUGAAAGUAAUGUUAGCAACUAAAGAAAAAUAGAAUUGCUCUUGUUUUAUUCAAUUGAGUCUUUUAGGUGUUUGGAUCUGCAAAGUGGCCUAGAGCUUUAAUUAGAAAUAUGACCAUGAGAAAGGUACAUUAUUCUGCAUUAGUAAGUAGAAAAAAAAUGUUAUUCCUAGAAGAGAAAUGAAAAUAUUGACAUGGAUGAGGGAAGAGGGUGAGAGUUAAGGACAAAUAUAAAAAUUACCAGAGGACUGAGCUUUCAAUGGAGAUGACUUAACAAAGAAUUCCUGACUGUGGCCAUAACAACCCUUGGAAAUAGAUAUUUUAUCAUCUUAGGGGCUCAUAGUAAACCUUGCUAAUGCUUAUACAUACAGAAAGACCCUAUCAUGAAGAAUGUUUUGUUUGUUCCCUAUAAAUUGUAAAGGUAGCUGCUUUUAUUACUGUAUCAUAAUGGUAAAGAAUGCAGACAGAAUGCAGGCGAGCAAGGAAUCCUCUUAGUCAGAGUAGGAGUCUAAUGCCAGAGAUGAAAAUGAGAAUGCUAGCUACAUAGGAAUGUGCAUGUACGUUGAGUAGAUUACAUAUGGAUAAUGAGGUUUGAAUAUAGCUGAUAGUGUUGAUGAUGAUGAUUAUAAUAGUAACUUAUAUUUAGUAAUCACUUACUAUGUAUCAGGCCUGCAUGAAGCCUAACAUGGAUUAUUGUCUUACAUUUCCUGAGAAAUUCCAUUCUAUUUUCCCCUGCUUAUUAAUAUGUAUUUGGGAUUCAGUGGGACUAAGUAACCUGUGCACAUUCACAUUUUUAGUAACUGAUGAUGAUGGGACCGAAUUAUCAAAUUACUGAACAUGUUAAAUGUGAAUUAAGGUAAUCAUUAUCUUACUUCACAUCUUAUUGCACUUGAUGCUAAAGAAUAUGAGCGAUGCUUCUUUCAUGUCUCUGAGAUUUUGUAGAUAUUACUGCUGUCUUGAAUAUACUUUCUUCCUUUUCUUUUGGGUUUGCAAGUUUCUAAAUGUGAUUGAACACAGAUUUGAGAGAAUAAAAGAACAGUUUAAACAAGAUUUUUUGACACUUUACCUACAAAAUAGUAAUUUUUUCUCUAUACCUUUAUACAUCUUUUUUGUGAAUACUUCUUUUACUUAUUGAAGCUAAUCACAAGUGUCACCCUGACUUGUUUACUUGACUGAGCCCAAUUUUGAACCAUGAGUUCCUACAAGAAUAAAGACUGAGUCAUAAUUUGAAGCACUAAUUAGAUAUUUGUCAAGAUAAAAUUCAAUUAGAGUGAGAAGGUGACCCUCAGAUUCUAUUCUAGUUUUAUUUGUUAAUUAUGACCAUGAUAAAGUCUAUCAACAAAAAGAGUAAUCAACUCUGCUGCUAACUCCUUGCUACAAGUUCUAAGAAGAGAUAUAUUAUUUGGUGACUAUUAAAGAGCUUUGAAACAGAAAGGAAUUUACUUAUUUGUAAAAUCUCAGACUUUUUAUUUUAGGAGAUGCUGAUGUUAUAAACACUUGUAUAAGCUAUCAGUUGUCAAGACUGCUAUAGUUUGUUGUCCAAGGUCAUGGUUAAGAUAUCAAGACAAUAAGGUUAAGAGAAGUAUUUGCAAGUGUAAAGGAAAAGCAUAAUAAUAUUGUCUGGGAUAGUCUUUCUUUCCUUCUUUCAGUAAGUAAGUUGGAAAAUUUUUGAAGACUCAACUCAGUCAACAUUUUUAAGAAGCUUUCACUGAAUAUCCAAGUGUGACACAACUUGACACUGAGAAUCCAGAAAAUCUGAGACAGGUCUCAGUUAAUUUAGAAAGUUUAUUUUGCCAAGGUUGAGGAUGAACCUGUGACACAACCUCAGGAUGUCCUGACAACAUGUGCGCAAGGUGGUCAGGGCACAGCUUGGUUUUAUACAUUUUAAGGGAAACAUGAGACAUCAAUUAAUAUGUAAGAAGUACAUUGGUGCAGUCUGGAAAGGUGGGAAAACUUGAAGUAAAGUCAGGAAAACUGGAAACAGGAGGGAGCUUCCAGGUGGCAGAUAGGUGAGACAUUCUUUUGAGUUUCUGAUUAGCCUUUCCAAUGGAGGCAAUCAGAUAUGCAUCCAUCUCAGUGAGGAGAGGGUUAACUUUGAAUAGAAUAGGAGUCAGGAUUGCCUUAAGCAGUUUCUAGCUUGAGUUUUCCUUAGGGAUUUUGAGGGCCCAAAAUAUUUUCUUUUCACAUUUCCCCCCUUUUCUUUUUAAAAGUCUUUUGGAGAAAGCAUUUUACAAAAAAAUGAGUCUCUGGUCUCUGAUCGCUCAUGGCUAGGAUGGCUUAUUCCUAGAUGGGUAGGUCCUGAAAGUUCAUUUUUAGCAGGUUGUGAAGACUCACGUCCUGUGAAGAGAAAAUAGUGGGGAGGAAGAGAGAAAGAAAAAAAAAAACAAAAACAAAAGAACAAUCCUAGAAAAAUCAAUACAGGCCACAUUACUCUGAAGCCUACACAUUAGUUGGCAGUGAUGAAAGUGGCUUAAAUAUGUAAAUAUGUUGCUGUUAUUUUAUUCUGAAGUUUAAGUUGUCUGGCUUCAGUUCAUAAGGUUUAGGAAAGCACAUCUUAGUUUUCAGUGAUUCCAAAUUAGGAAAAAGUGGGGGAAAAAAGAAGGAAAAAAAAAUGGGAACAUUAUUUUGAAAACUUGUAGCCAAGAAAAAUUAGAAUUCAGUCCAAACUGUAGAAAAUAAAAAUUGAAGAAAAAAAAACAUUAGGCAAGAUUAGAAUAUAACAACAGGUUUACUAUCAUUUUGAAACAAUAUUUUUUUUUUACUCUCUCCAGUUUACCAUUUUACUAAAGACAAAUUAUGAUAGAAUUGGUUUGCUUAUUAUACUUGGCCUAAUUAUUUGUGUACAGUGCAACAAGUAUAAUUAUUUUUUUACAUAGGCUUUAAAAUGAGAUUUUAUGGAACUUUGUUCCAUAGGAGGAAUCUCAGAUAAGACUUUUUUAAAGCAAAUCCAGGCCAUGGAUUUGUGCCAUGAAAUACCUAUGAGUUGGGUGAAUUUCUUCUCCCCUUGAGGUUCCGAGAUAAACCUGGGACUUCUGCACCUGUCAGAAAGUGGCAUUUUUUACUUACCACAGGUCAGAAAACUUGUGUAGGAAUGUGUACACAAAAUAUGAGGCCAGUUUUAUCAAGAGCUUUAUUGGCUUCAUAAGCCAAGUUUGAUUCCUUAAAGGAAAGCACACCAUUCCAGUCAAAGCCUUGGUAAAAUAAGGCACCCAUAGUCAAAAGACACAAUUGUCAAGGAAAUUUGUUAACUCUGUGGCACGCAAUAAUUUUAACAUAACAAUUAUCAUUAUUACUGAUAGCGUACACUAAGUUAUAUCAGAAUUACGUGAGUUUCCCAGAAUUUUGGAACACAUACCAAUAAUAUAUUUCUACAAAUACGGUCCAAAGAAAACCAAACACAAUUCCAUAUUUGACAGUACUUCCUGUGUAAUUUUUAUACCAAAUUAGCCAAAUUAUGUUAUUUUUGGACAUUGGGGAAGCUACUGUCUUAAAGGAUUAAUUAGGUUAGAAAAGACAUAGUUAUUUGAUUUUGGAAAUUUUGUCAACUAUAAAAGGUUUAAAACAUUUGAUGUUACAAAAUAGGAUUACAGUUCAUUGUAAAGUCAUUUAUUUAACCAGAGUGAUAAUUCAAGGAUUUGAAUAAAAAGCAAAAAUCUUUGUUCUUUGAGAGAGGAGACUUAAUUAAUUUUCUAAACAAGAAGCCCUAAUAAAAACAGCAUGAACCCAGUUACAUUUGUUUUUCAGAAUUUUGUAAACAAUCUAUACAAUUUCAUCUUGAUUAUAAAAUAUAACUUCCAUAAGCCUUUUAUAACCUUUAUAGCCUUUAUUAAGGAAUUGGUUAAUGAUGCAAGAAAGCUUUGUUAAUCUGACACAGGGGUUUAUAUACUGGUUUUGCAUCAGUGUGCCUUUGACACUAAUGAUUAAUUUAUAGGGAAACCGAAUUUAUUUUAUCUUUCAAAAUUGGGCCUUACAAUCUUUUGCAUUCACCUCUUCCACAAGAUUCCUAGGGCCUUGAAGAGCUGAAUAGCUUUAAUUUCUUGCCCUGUGUCUCAGGAAUGCAGUUUAUUUGUCUGGCAUCUCUAUGGGGCCUGAAUAUGAUGAUUUAAUUGCUGUAAGUGUUUAAGAUUUAGCAGGGCUUUGUAUUCAUUUUAGACCCAGGAGUUAAAGCCCUCUAACUAAAUGUUACAAGGACUUUAAAAGCACAUACAGGGAGGUACAUGGAUGUAAUCAGCUUAAUUUAAAAAAUUAUCAGUUUUUUUCCUAAGCAAACCACAACUUAAUAAUAUGACAAAUUGAUUAUAUAAAAGUUUUUGUCAUAUAUAUGUCAUAUAUAUAUACA